UUCUGAAAACCCCCCCCAGCGAAUUCCCGACAAACCGGCAGCUCCCGCCGUCUCCCCCGUUCCUCUGUCGCGCCGGAGGUCCGCUCCCCCGCAGCUCGGCUCCCCCGCAGCUCCCCGCAUCGCCGGAGCUCUCCCGCCCCACGCCUCCCCCACCCCACGCCUCCCCCGCAGCUUCCCUCUCCUUGUUCCCCUCCUCCUUCCCCAUGGUGAUCCCCGACGAGAAGAAGACUGAUUUUUUCUUUCGAUCUGCUCGGCGGCGGCCAUUUCCAGGUCCUCCUCCUCGGCGCUGCGGCGGCAGCUCGCCCGCGGUGGCGGAGCAGGCGAGUAGCAGCAGUGGGCGCGCGAGCAUGCGGCGAAGGAGGUCACCUUCGGCGUCGGCGCGCACGCCACCAUGCCGCGGUGCGUCAACGACCUCGCGGACGCCGCCAAGGUCACCAUGGGCCCCAAGCAUGUGCCGCUCAACAUGACCUGUAGAACACUGAAUGGAUGCACAAGAAAAGGAAAAAGGCAGCAAGGAGGGAGAGGAUAUUUUCGUAAGGAGUGAGUCUAAGAUCUUACUGUGGUUAAGAGUUCAAAACAACAGUUGCCUGUUUUUUGCAAGUUCAAAUCAAAAAUGAAUAUUGUUCCAAAAAAUUAUAUGGAAAUUACCCUUGUUAAGUUUGUCUCCCUGAAUUUGCUAACUGAUUUUUUUACAAUAAUCAUCAGUGUAACAAAGAUUAGAUUCUAUAGUACACAAGAUUCAGUGUAAAUCUUCAAAAUGAAUUGCUGUUGGUAUGUUCAGUGGUUAGAACAGAAGAUCAGAUUUCUUAGGUUCUACAGUACACAAGUUGAUAACAAAGAUGAGAUUUCUUAGGUUGCACUACUCCCAUUUUUGCUCUGCUCCCAUUUUUGCUCACAAUUAUUCAGAAAAGGACUACUCCUAGUAACAAAACAGAUCAUUUACUGAAAAUAGCUCUACAUUUCUUCUUCUAAUGGUUGUUCCUGUAGCAAUAGCUCUACAUUUACUGAAAAUAAACUUGAUGUACUGAAAAUAAACUUGGGCAUUGUUUACUGAAAAUAAACUUGGGCAUUGUUUCAGUAAACUGCAGUAGGUUUUUUCCAAGUUAGUGCUUGCAAAAUUUUAGGACCAUGUGAAUAAAAUGCUUUCAUGUAAGAAGAUGAUUAUUGGACUAUGUCUGUUUCACUGCUCACUGCUAACUGAAUUUUCUGAAGCUUUUAUUUAAAAAGUGAUGUCUGUCUUCCCUACCCAUCUCAUUGCUCACUGCUAGCAAUGAUUUAUACUCCAGCAAUUUUGAUUAAGUAAUUACUGUGACAAUAUUGCAACAUUUCUUCAGAGUACAUGAUCAGUUUUGCCCCUUUUCAAUAAAGGGGUGCAGCAACUUUUUGGGAUUUCUGAAACUAUAGUCACUGGGACAAUAUACAGUCACCUGGGAUUUCUGAAACUAUACUGUCACUUGGAACAGUUAAGCGUUUCUGGGGUUUCUUUCUUCUUCAGCAAGGCAUGAUUUAUUUUUUCUUCUUCUUUUUUCUCUAGUGUGCCAUGUCUUUUCUUCUCCUGUGUAGAAUUAGUAAAUGUUCAGAAUUAUGUUGUGUAUGCCAGUGUUGUGUUAACACUUAACCUGAUUUGCUUCCGGUGACUGAAAAUGGGAAUUAACAACAAUAGUAACUAGCCAAUAUUGUGUUCUCACAAGCAUGGAAUUCAGGUAGCAACAGUAACAGCAACAUGGUUAUUUGUUAUGUUCUCACUGCUCACAAGCUAACAGUAACAUCAACAUGAUUUAGUUUCUGAAGCUAACUGAAUUUUUUGAAGCUAGCAGCAACAAGUCAUCACACACACAGCUAACUGAAUCUUUUGAAGCGAUUUUGUACCUAUAUCAAUUUGAUUCGAUUUUGAUUUUGACCCUGACAAUGAAUUUCAAUUGUAAUCCAAUUAAACUCUCUGUAUCAAUUAAACUCUUUGUAUAACCUGUUAAUUUUGAUUGCAAUCAAGCUUUCGCAGGAACAAAUGAACAAUUUACUCUAAUGUGAUCAAGCUUUCGCAGGAACAGAGGCGGAGUAAAUUUCAGAUAACAUCAGCAGUAGAUCAGCAUUGCAAUUGACAAUUUUAAUACUCCAAUUAACACUGCAAUUGACACUGAUGGAGUACUUCAUUGACAAACUGAAAUGGAUACUGCAAUUGGCACUGUACCUGCAGCCAACAGCAGCAGCAGAGGCAAUCAGUAGUCGAGGUGAUCGAGGGCAGAGGCAAUCAGCAGUCGAGGGCAGGCGCCAGUGGCAUCAGCAGGUCUGCGUGGUCGUCUCGCCGGCGGGGAAGAUCCGCAUGGCCCUGCCUGCCGGAUUCUUCAAGAGGGGAGCGGCGACCGGGGUCGGCAGCGGCGGCUGGGGUUGCCGCGGGGUGAGGAACCGGCGAGCAGGGCCAGGGACGCGAGCAGGGCCACGAGGAGGAGGCGCCCGUUGAGGUGGUCGCCUUGGAGGAGCAGCCUCAGCUGGGCGGCGGGGCAGCUCGCCUCCGUGCGGACGGCCCACGUUCGCAGCGGCGGAGUAACCGCAGGUGGGCGGGCCGUCCGCAGCGGCGGAGCAACCGCAGGUGGGCUACGGCGCAGGUGGGCGUCGGCGGAGGUGGUCGCCCGCUCUUUCUACGGCGGCUGCCGGCGGUGGCUACGACGGCCGCUUGGUCGAAGGAGGAAGAAGCAGAGUUGAGGGGGGGAUUAGCACUAGAUUUAAAACUGGAAGGGUUUUUUUGUAAAAUUUGAAAUGAACUAAGCUCUGGACAACUUUUCCCGGACGGAGAGAGUAUUUAGGAACGGAGGGAGUAUACAUGUGUGCUUUCACAUCACCUUAAUUACCUAUGGCCAUACAAUCAAAAUUGUAUGACAUCAGCAAGUUGUGCUUG